UUUAAUGUCAAAACAAUCUGUAAUCACGGUGUCCCCUUCUCAACUUGAUGGAACCUUCCACGAUUAUCUUCCUGUCAUAGAAUUCAAGUGAAUAUCUACUUGGUUAGUUGGUUUUAACACAUCUACUGAUCUACCUAACAACUAACAAGAUGCAAUUUGAUUGAGCCUAUUCAAAGUUGGACUUACAUUGAUGGAUUGUGUGUGAAUAACACUAGUAGGCGAACUGUGUGUGUAAAUUUAAGAAGGCUAGAAAAACUAAUUUAGGCCAGGAAGUGGUCUCACAAACAGAAGAAACUAUCAAGAAAUCCAAUCUAUACUUGUCCAAUGUUGGUCUAACAAAUAGACGAAAUCAUCAAGAAACCUAAUCUACACUUGUCCAAUGUUGGUCUAACAAAUAGACGAAAUCGUCAAGAAACGUAAUCUACACUUGUGAAUUGUCUGUGUCGUGGGUCUAGGUUGUUAAACAAGUUCAAAUUUCGAAAUUGACAAUACAACUCAAUACAUUGUCUUGGCAAUUUUCUUUGGGACUUAGUUUUGUAAUAGGUUUCAAUGCUCUUUAAGAAAGCAAAUCUAACAGACCGCAAACUGUGGUGACUGAAUAAGCAAUUAUACCUAAAUAGUAUAAAGGUCAGAUAAACUGGCAAGAACGAAAAGAAAAGAAAAGAAAAGAAAAGAAAAGAAAAGAAAAGAAAAUACAAUAAAAGAAAAAAAAAGUGUCCCUUCGUUACUGUUUUUUUACAAUGCAAGGAUUGUAUUUAUAAAGUCAAAAGGACUCAAGAAACAGAGGAAAUUAAAAAUAUGUAUACAGCUCAAAUUAAACUAAAAGAGUAAAAUACAACCAAACCAACCUAAAACUAACUCAAAAUCUACUCAACCGGCCACAGAACCCAGAACCCAAUGCACUGUAUGGAGAGAAAUUCUGAUCGCCAUCAUUACAAGAAGCCAAAACCCCAUCAGCAUCAUCACCGAUCAAAAUGAAGAAUUAGCCAAACAGAAGGCAACAACAAUAAAGAGAGGACAAAUACUCAAGAAGUCCAAAUUGAAAGCUCCAGGAUGAAUAGUCUAUACUAAAAUAGAACACAAAUAUGAAGCAGCCCGUACCAAAAUUAAAUAGCAUGAGAAGGAGACACUAUAGAAUCUAGUGCCAACAUAGGCUAAUGAGAGAGUGAUUCUUCAGGCAUAGCAAGGCGGCCAAUAUCGAGUUAUCAAUCCUUGACACAAAUCUCAUAGGGAGGUCAACUUUCAGUCAAUAGACAAUUCGGACUUGUAAAAUUAUAUAAAAAAAAAAAAGCAUCGUCAACAAGGAAACCAAUCCGUUGGUUACUUAGUACACC
rnacentral:lncRNA from 1 species